AGAGAGGGACUGAGGACAGGGGAGGCAGGAGCGGCAACAGCGGCGUCGGCAUCGGGAUCGGGAUUGGGAAUAGCAGUGUCGGGAAUAGCAAUGUCGGGAAUAGCAGUGUGAAUGGUGCCUGCAGGUGGAGGUAUGGUCGCACUGACACUCCGAAGGUUUCAGCUUCAUCCCCCUGCCCCAUUCACAUCUCAUCAAGGAUUUUGUCGAGGGGAUGCCACACAGACAUAGGUCAGGGCUUUGAGAGGCUUGGCUGAAGAUUUUUGAUAGGCAUGAAAGGCAUUUAGGUCUUGGACACAGAGCAGAAUAGGUUUGUAAUGGUUUAUUUUAAUACUGGAGUUGAAUAUACAGUCGCUGAUUAAAGGAGGAGUGAGAGCCAUAGACCUCUGCACACGUCAGUGAGCUGGGCUGGAACAUCUGUCCGAGGGUCAGCAGGGUGUUCUUGGAGUGAGUGCCUGCUACCACGCUUGGGAAGUCUGAAUUGUGGUUUUCAAGGUACUCACAGACUUUAGACACUGUUCUUUGUCUGUCUCGUUAGCCACGUUAGUACAUUAGCACCUAAAAUAAGUGUCCCUAGUAUAUCAAUUAUUUAAACACUAGCAGGGUUUACAUACUUUUAAUUGACUUUUUUAUAAGGUAAAAACAGGUUUGGGAACUUUGUAGAAAUGUUGAUAAGAAUUCUGUUACUCCUUUCUGCUAAGCUGAAUGAGUUGUCAGCAAGGAGACACAGGGCUUUUUUCUUAAAAUGUGUCAGUCCCAUCAGUGCUGAAGUGUCUUAAAUAUGUCUUUGUUUUUGGCAGCAUAACGUGUUCCUACAAUAAUAUUGAUUUAUUUACUAAAAAAAUAAAAAAGGUUGUGUGA